AGACCAUUGACACUGACAAGACCCUUAUCACUGAGUCACUGAGAUGGCGCAAACAAGAUUUACAUUAAUCACACUUACGUGUGUUUUGUUCUGUGAACAUCAGAGAGCGUUUGGGACUGAAGUGAACAUAAGAGUUAAAUCAGGAGACAAUAUCACUCUGUACUGUGACUGUGUCAUACCAUUUGGAUCACACGUUGUUUGGUGGAGAGACUGCUCACAUGAGCAUCAGCCUUCUCUUUUAAUAGAUCAUUUAAAUAUAUUCAGGUAUAUGUCAUCACAUUUUAGUUUUAUGAUUAACACAUCCAGUAACUCCUAUGAUCUACGUAUUUCAAACGUCAGUGUCUCUGAUGAGGGAAUAUACUACUGUGGCAAAGGAGGAAAGAAAAUAAAUACAAAUAAAGAGGGCUUCGUAAAUUCCAAAUAUGCAUAUGAAUAUGGAAACAGGACAACUUGUUUAUCUGUCUUAGAACCAGUGUCUGCUGAUGCGGGCGCUUC